UACGUAGGGUGCGAGCGUUGUCCGGAAUUAUUGGGCGUAAAGGGCUCGUAGGCGGUUUGUCGCGUCGGGAGUGAAAACUCAGGGCUUAACCCUGAGCCUGCUUCCGAUACGGGCAGACUAGAGGUAUGCAGGGGAGAACGGAAUUCCUGGUGUAGCGGUGAAAUGCGCAGAUAUCAGGAGGAACACCGGUGGCGAAGGCGGUUCUCUGGGCAUUACCUGACGUGAGGAGCGAAAGUGUGGGGAGCGAACAGG
rnacentral:rRNA from 1 species